GACGAACGCUGGCGGCGUGCUUAACACAUGCAAGUCGAACGGAAAGGCCCUGCUUUUGUGGGGUGCUCGAGUGGCGAACGGGUGAGUAACACGUGAGUAACCUGCCCUUGACUUUGGGAUAACUUCAGGAAACUGGGGCUAAUACCGGAUAGGAGCUCCUGCUGCAUGGUGGGGGUUGGAAAGUUUCGGCGGUUGGGGAUGGACUGGCGGCUUAUCAGCUUGUUGGUGGGGUAGUGGCUUACCAAGGCUUUGACGGGUAGCCGGCCUGAGAGGGCGACCGGCCACAUGGGGACUGAGAUACGGCCCAGACUCCUACGGGAGGCAGCAGUGGGGAAUAUUGCACAAUGGGCGGAAGCCUGAUGCAGCAACGCCGCGUGCGGGAUGACGGCCUUCGGGUUGUAAACCGCUUUCGCCUGUGACGAAGCGUGAGUGACGGUAAUGGGUAAAGAAGCACCGGCUAACUACGUG
rnacentral:rRNA from 1 species